rnacentral:ribozyme from 2 species
UGUUGUUAUUACCUUCAGCAACACAUCCUAACUUCAUAUUUUUAUUUAAUAACCACUUAGGUAGUUGCUAGAUUCUGGAAAUAAAAUAUGAGCCCCAAGUAGUCCCCAACUCCUCCCUUACCCCCAAUUCUGAAUGUAGCUGGCAAGAUUUUGAAUAUAAUGCACAUAAUAAGUGACAGUAAUUAUAAAAUGGUG